GUGCCAGCAGCCGCGGUAAGACGAACCGUGCAAACGUUAUUCGGAUUCACUGGGCUUAAAGGGCGCGUAGGCGGGUGAUCAAGUCAGGGGUGAAAUCCUCCAGCUUAACUGGAGCAGUGCCUUUGAUACUGGUCGUCUUGAGGGAGGUAGGGGCAUGUGGAACUUCCGGUGGAGCGGUGAAAUGCGUAGAUAUCGGAAGGAACGCCGGUGGCGAAAGCGACGUGCUGGAUCUCUUCUGACGCUGAGGCGCGAAAGCCAGGGUAGCGAACGGGAUUAGAAACCCGAGUAGUCC
rnacentral:rRNA from 1 species